GACGAACGCUGGCGGCGUGCUUAACACAUGCAAGUCGAACGAAGAGCGACGGAAGCUUGCUUCUAUCAAUCUUAGUGGCGAACGGGUGAGUAACGCGUAAUCAACCUGCCCUUCAGAGGGGGACAACAGCUGGAAACGACUGCUAAUACCGCAUACGAUCUAACCUCGGCAUCGAGGAUAGAUGAAAGGUGGCCUCUACAUGUAAGCUAUCACUGAAGGAGGGGAUUGCGUCUGAUUAGCUAGUUGGAGGGGUAACGGCCCACCAAGGCGAUGAUCAGUAGACGGUCUGAGAGGAUGAACGGCCACAUUGGGACUGAGACACGGCCCAGACUCCUACGGGAGGCAGCAGUGGGGAAUCUUCCGCAAUGGACGAAAGUCUGACGGAGCAACGCCGCGUGAGUGAUGACGGCCUUCGGGUUGUAAAGCUCUGUUAAUCGGGACGAAAGGCCUUCUUGCGAAUAGUGAGAAGGAUUGACGGUACCGGAAUAGAAAGCCACGGCUAACUACGUG
rnacentral:rRNA from 1 species